rnacentral:rRNA from 1 species
AGUGAACGCUGGCGGUAGGCCUAACACAUGCAAGUCGAACGGCAGCACAGUAAGAGCUUGCUCUUACGGGUGGCGAGUGGCGGACGGGUGAGGAAUACAUCGGAAUCUACUUUUUCGUGGGGGCUAACGUAGGGAAACUUACGCUAAUACCGCAUACGACCUACGGGUGAAAGCAGGGGAUCUUCGGACCUUGCGCGAUUGAAUGAGCCGAUGUCGGAUUAGCUAGUUGGCGGGGUAAAGGACCACCUAGGCGACGAUCCGUAGCUGGUCUGAGAGGAUGAUCAGUCGCACGGGAGAUGGGACGCGGAGCAGAACUCGAAGGGAGGCAGGAGUGGGGAACAUACGGGAAGGGGCGGAAGCCUGUACCAGACAUACCGCGUGGGUGAAGUAGGCCUUCGGGUUGUAAAGCCCUUUUGUUGGGAAAGAAAAGCAGCAGGUUAAUAGCGCGCUGUUCUGGCGGUACCGAAAGAAUAAGCACCGGCUAAUUUCGU